UACGAAGGGGGCUAGCGUUGCUCGGAAUCACUGGGCGUAAAGGGUGCGUAGGCGGGUCUUUAAGUCAGGGGUGAAAUCCUGGAGCUCAACUCCAGAACUGCCUUUGAUACUGAGGAUCUUGAGUUCGGGAGAGGUGAGUGGAACUGCGAGUGUAGAGGUGAAAUUCGUAGAUAUUCGCAAGAACACCAGUGGCGAAGGCGGCUCACUGGACUGGUAUUGACGCUGAGGUGCGAAAGCGUGGGGAGCAAACAGGG
rnacentral:rRNA from 1 species